rnacentral:lncRNA from 1 species
AGAGGGGAGGAAAGAGAAGAGUUUGUGAUAUUUUGGGAAGAAUGAGAGGUGCUCAAUUUCAUUUGAAGAUGGGAGGUCAUCCGGAAGCCAUGCUCGGCUAAACAUCUAAUCUAGGGCUGGAUGAAGCCCUAGUAAUGUAUCAGGGCAUUGUAGUUCUUAUUUUCUUUAUUAUUUUGGAGCUUGUUUAAAUUCUUAUCUUCAAUGAAAUAUCUUUUUAUGAUGUUUAAACUUUGAGCAUGCCAUUUACUAUUCAUGUUUGCUAAAGUAG